rnacentral:rRNA from 1 species
UACGGGGGGGAGCAAGCGUUGUUCGGAUUUACUGGGCGUAAAGGGCUCGUAGGCGGCCAACUAAGUCAGACGUGAAAUCCCUCGGCUUAACCGGGGAACUGCGUCUGAUACUGGAUGGCUCGAGAUUGGGAGAGGGAUGCGGAAUUCCAGGUGUAGCGGUGAAAUGCGUAGAUAUCUGGAGGAACACCGGUGGCGAAGGCGGCAUCCUGGACCGGUAUUGACGCUGAGGCGCGAAAGCCAGGGGAGCAAACGGG